rnacentral:rRNA from 1 species
GACGAACGCUGGCGGCGUGCUUAACACAUGCAAGUCGAACGGAAAGGCCCUGCUUUUGUGGGGUGCUCGAGUGGCGAACGGGUGAGUAACACGUGAGUAACCUGCCCUUGACUUUGGGAUAACUUCAGGAAACUGGGGCUAAUACCGGAUAGGAGCUCCUGCUGCAUGGUGGGGGUUGGAAAGUUUCGGCGGUUGGGGAUGGACUCGCGGCUUAUCAGCUUGUUGGUGGGGUAGUGGCUUACCAAGGCUUUGACGGGUAGCCGGCCGGCGAGGGUGACCGGCCACAUUGGGACUGAGAUACGGCCCAGACUCCUACGGGAGGCAGCAGUGGGGAAUAUUGCACAAUGGGCGGAAGCCUGAUGCAGCAACGCCGCGUGCGGGAUGACGGCCUUCGGGUUGUAAACCGCUUUCGCCUGUGACGAAGCGUGAGUGACGGUAAUGGGUAAAGAAGCACCGGCUAACUACGUG